UACGAUAAUUGGUGCCUUGCAAUAAAGGAGCACACAAAUGCAGCCCUGAAAUUGUAUUUCCUGGAUCUGUGACCCAUUACUACCUGGCACCCUUUAAGCAUUGGCUGGGACAGAGAAGAAAAGAGUCUGAGAAUCAAUCCCAGGACUCUCACAUGAGCAUGAAGGCUGUUACCACAGGGCGACUGCCGUGGCCCUUGGCUUCCAUAUCUUGGCCAUGCCCCAGUUCUGAUGUACGUAGGAGUUAAAAUCUGGAACAAAUCUGCUGACUGAAUAUUUUUGUAAUUAUUUGAGCCAGGAAGGAAUCUUUGUUGAUGAAAGACAGUGGGAAAUGGAUCCUUUCAGCUAAGU
rnacentral:lncRNA from 1 species